CCUACGGGAGACAGCAGUGGGGGAUAUUGCACAAUGGGGGAAACCCUGAUGCAGCGACGCCGCGUGGGUGAAGAAGCGCCUCGGCGCGUAAAGCCCUGUCAGCAGGGAAGAAAAUGACGGUACCUGAAGAAGAAGCCCCGGCUAACUACGUGCCAGCAGCCGCGGUAAUACGUAGGGGGCAAGCGUGAUCCGGAUUUACUGGGUGUAAAGGGGGCGCAGACGGCGGUGCAAGCCAGGAGUGAAAGCCCGGGGCCCAACCCCGGGACUGCUCUUGAAACUGCGUGGCUAGAGUGCAGGAGGGGCAGGCGGAAUGCGUGGUGUAGCGGUGAAAUGCGUAGAUAUCAGGAGGAACACCGGUGGCGAAGGCGGCCUGCUGGACUGCAACUGACGUUGAGGCCCGAAAGCGUGGGGAGCAAACAGGAUUAGAUACCCCUGUAGUC
rnacentral:rRNA from 1 species